rnacentral:rRNA from 1 species
AGGUUAAGUUAAAAAGGGCGCAUGGUGGAUGCCUUGGCACUAGAAGCCGAUGAAGGACGGGACUAACACCGAUAUGCUUCGGGGAGCUGUACGUAAGCUUUGAUCCGGAGAUUUCCGAAUGGGGAAACCCAGCAGUUUUAAUCGACUGUUACUAUAUAGUGAAUUCAUAGCUGUAUAGAGGUAGACGUGGGGAACUGAAACAUCUCAGUACCCACAGGAGCAGAAAGAAAUUUUCGAUUCCCUCAGUAGCGGCGAGCGAACGGGGAACAGCCCAAACCAAUGAGCUUGCUCAUUGGGGUUGUAGGACUGAACAUUUGAGUUACCAAAGUUGUUGAUAAUCGAACAAUCUGGGAAGGUUGGCGAAACAGGGUGAUAGCCCCGUAGGUGAAAUCAAUGACCCUCAGUUCAGGAUCCUGAGUACGGCGACACACGUGAAACGUCGUCGGAAUCCGGGAGGACCAUCUCCCAAGGCUAAAUACUCUCUAGUGACCGAUAGUGAACCAGUACCGUGAGGGAAAGGUGAAAAGCACCCCGGAAGGGGAGUGAAAUAGUUCCUGAAACCAUGUGCCUACAAGCAGUUAGAGCCCGUUAAUGGGUGAUAGCGUGCCUCUUGUAGAAUGAACCGGCGAGUUACGGUAACAUGCCAGGUUAAGGUUUAAAAGCCGGAGCCGCAGCGAAAGCGAGUCUGAAAUGGGCGUUUUAGUAUGUUGCUGUAGACCCGAAACCAGGUGAUCUACCCAUGUCCAGGGUGAAGGUGCGGUAAAACGCACUGGAGGCCCGAACCCGUGUACGUUGAAAAGUGCUGGGAUGAGGUGUGGGUAGCGGUGAAAUUCCAAACGAACUUGGAGAUAGCUGGUUCUCUCCGAAAUAGCUUUAGGGCUAGCCUCGGACGUAGAAUCAUGGAGGUAGAGCCACUGUUUGGAUGAGGGGCCCGUCAUGGGUUACUAAGUUCAGAUAAACUCCGAAUACCAUUGAUUUUUAUCCGGGAGUCAGACGGUGAGUGAUAAGAUCCAUCGUCAAAAGGGGAACAGCCCAGACCACCAGUUAAGGUCCCUAAAUAUAUGCUAAGUGGAAAAGGAUGUGGAGUUGCAUAGACAACUAGGAUGUUGGCUCAGAAGCAGCCACCAUUUAAAGAGUGCGUAAUAGCUCACUAGUCGAGUGAUUCCGCGCCGAAAAUUUACCGGGGCUAAGCAUAUUACCGAGACUGUGGACUUGACCUUCGGUCAAGUGAUAGGAGAGCGUUCUAAGGGCAAUGAAGCCAGACCGUAAGGACUGGUGGAGCGCUUAGAAGUGAGAAUGCCGGUAUGAGUAGCGAAAGAUCAGUGAGAAUCUGAUCCACCGAAUGACUAAGGUUUCCUGGGGAAGGCUCGUCCUCCCAGGGUUAGUCGGGACCUAAGCCGAGGCCGCAAGGCGUAGGCGAUGGAUAACAGGUUGAGAUUCCUGUACUAGUUGAUGAUGUUUGAGCGAUGGAGGGACGCAGGAGGCUAAGUUGUGCAUCCAGUUGGAAAGGGAUGUUCAAGCCACGAGUCAGUCAAAGAGUCAAAUGCUUUUUGGCGGGUUGACAAGUGGUGAUGAGGACCGAAAUUUAAGUAGGGAAGCAACCGACGUCACACUGCCGAGAAAAGCUUCUAGUGAGUCAUCAACUACCCGUACCGCAAACCGACACAGGUAGUCGAGGAGAGAAUCCUCAGGUGAGCGA